rnacentral:rRNA from 1 species
GAUGAACGCUGACAGAAUGCUUAACACAUGCAAGUCUUUGGCGAAGCUGUGCUUGCACAGCCUAGCCAAGGCGGACGGGUGAGUAACGCGUAAGGAACUUGCCCUGCAGUCAGGGAUAACAGACGGAAACGACUGAUAAGACCUGGUAAAGUCAGGCGGACUCAUGUCCAGCCUGAUGAAAAGAGAUGCUGCAGGAGAGCCUUGCGUCCUAUUAGCUUGUUGGUGGGGUAACGGCCCACCAAGGCGAUGAUAGGUAGCCGGCCUGAGAGGGUGGACGGCCACAAGGGGACUGAGAUACGGCCCUUACUCCUACGGGAGGCAGCAGUGGGGAAUAUUGGACAAUGGGGGCAACCCUGAUCCAGCAAUUCUGUGUGCACGACGAAGGUUUUCGGAUUGUAAAGUGCUUUCAGCGGGGAAGAAAAAAAUGACGGUACCUGCAGAAGAAGCGACGGCUAAAUACGUG